GACAGCUCUGUUAGCCUAGUGGUUAGAGCGUUCGCCUUGAAUGCUAGAGGUCGCGUGUUUGAACCCUGGCUUAGUCA